GCGCUAGUAGCUUAAUGGAUAGAGCAUCUGACUACGGAUCAGAAGGUUGGGGGUUCGAGUCCCUCCUAGCGCG
rnacentral:tRNA from 1 species